rnacentral:rRNA from 1 species
UACGGGGGGGGCAAGCGUUGUUCGGAACUACUGGGCGUAAAGGGCUCGUAGGUGGCCAACUAAGUCAGACGUGAAAUCCCCAGGCUUAACCUGGGAACUGCGUCUGAUACUGGAUGGCUAGAGUUUGGGAGAGGGAUGCGGAAUUCCAGGUGUAGCGGUGAAAUGCGUAGAUAUCUGGAGGAACACCGGUGGCGAAGGCGGCAUCCUGGACCAACACUGACGCUGAGGAGCGAAAGCCAGGGGAGCAAACGGG